rnacentral:rRNA from 1 species
CCUACGGGAGGCUGCAGUAGGGAAUAUUGCUCAAUGGGGGAAACCCUGAAGCAGCAACGCCGCGUGGAGGAUGAAGGUUUUCGGAUUGUAAACUCCUUUUGUUAGAGAAGAUAAUGACGGUAUCUAACGAAUAAGCACCGGCUAACUCCGUGCCAGCAGCCGCGGUAAUACGGAGGGAGCAAGCGUUACUCGGAAUCACUGGGCGUAAAGAGCGCGUAGGCGGGAUAGCAAGUCAGAUGUGAAAUCCUAGGGCUUAACCAUAGAACUGCAUUUGAAACUGUUAUUCUAGAGUAUGGGAGAGGUAGGUGGAAUUCUUGGUGUAGGGGUAAAAUCCGUAGAGAUCAAGAGGAAUACUCAUUGCGAAGGCGACCUGCUAGAACAUAACUGACGCUGAUGCGCGAAAGCGUGGGGAGCAAACAGGAUUAGAUACCCUUGUAGUC